CUUCGGGUCGUAAAGUUCUUUUCUAAGGGAAGAUAGUGACGGUACCUUAAGAAUAAGUCCGGGCUAACUACGUGUCAGCAGCCGCGGUAAAACGUAGGGGGCCAGCGUUAUCCGGAUUUAUUGGCCGUAAAGCGCACGUAGGUGGCGCUGUAAGUUAGAUUUGAAAGCUCUCGGCUCAACUGAGAGAGGUCGUUUAAAACUGCAGUGCUUGACGUUGCAAGAGGAGAGCAGAAUUCCCGGUGUAUCGGCUGGAUGCGUAAAUAUCAGGAGGAAUACCAGUGGCGAAGGCGGCUCUCUAGUCUACACCUGACAAUGAGGUGCGAAAGCGUGGGUAGCGAACGGGAUUAGAUACCCCGGUAGUCCACGCUGUAAACGAUGGAUACUAGGUGUAGGGGGUCAUUUAACCCCUCUGUGCCGAAGCAAACGCGUUAAGUAUCCCGCCUGCGGACUACAGCCGCAAGGUUAAAACUCAAAGGAAUUGACGGGGGCCCGCACAAGCAUCGGAGCUUCUCGUUUAAUUCCAUGAUACGCGAAGAACCUUACCUGGGCUGAACUACGUAGUAGUAGUGAAGUCAAAGCGGAUCGACCCUUCGGGGAGCCUCGAUAGGUGCUCCAUGGCUGUCGUCAGCUCGUGUC
rnacentral:rRNA from 1 species